UACGGGGGUGGCGAGCGUUGUCCGGAAUCACUGGGCGUAAAGAGCGCGUAGGCGGCCAGAUAAGUCCGGUGUGAAAGUCACAGGCUCAACCUGUAAAUGCCGCAGGAAACUGUCUGGCUUGAGUCCGGAAGGGGCGAGUGGAAUUCCUGGUGUAGCGGUGAAAUGCGCAGAUAUCAGGAGGAACACCAAUGGCGAAGGCAGCUCGCUGGAACGGUACUGACG
rnacentral:rRNA from 1 species